rnacentral:rRNA from 1 species
GACGAACGCUGGCGGCGUGCUUAACACAUGCAAGUCGAACGGAAAGGCCCUGCUUUUGUGGGGUGCUCGAGUGGCGAACGGGUGAGUAACACGUGAGUAACCUGCCCUUGACUUUGGGAUAACUUUAGGAAACUGGGGCUAAUACCGGAUAGGAGCUUCUGCUGCACGGUGGGGGUUGGAAAGUUUCGGCGGUUGGGGAUGGACUCGCGGCUUAUCAGCUUGUUGGUGAGGUAGUGGCUUACCAAGGGUUUGACGGAUAGCCGACAUGAGAGGGUGACCGGCCACAUUGGGACUGAGGUACGGCCCAGUAUCCUACGGGAGGCAGCAGUGGGGAGUAUUACACAGUGGGCGGAAGCCUGAUGCAGCGGCGCCGCGUGCGGGAUGACGGCCUUCGGGUUAUAAACCGCUUUCGCCUGUGACGAAGCGUGAGUGACGGUAAUGGGUAAAGAAGCACCGGCUAACUACGUG